AAUUAUAUCAAUAUAAUAAUUUAUUUUUAUAUACAGUACUGAUCUUCCUCUAAAAAAAUCAUAGCCUACUUACAAUAUGACAAGAAGUAGAAAAAAUAAGAUUAAACCAGGUGAAAAGUCAGAACACCUACUCAAAUACCCUACUUUUGCUACAGUUAGGUCUAAAGUUCCUAGAAGCUAAAGAGGAUUCUUAGGAUCCAUAAGAUAAGUGGAAACCAGCUUCUGAGAAGAAUUUUUCCCAGGACUCCUGGAGAAAAGUCUCUUUUAUGGACUGUAUUACUCAGUACAGGCUAGGGCAUGCUGCAGGGUCAAAAGAUCCCAAAACCUGAGUCACUCGUAUCUACCAAGAUCUGCAUCUCACUCAUGCUCCAUGUCCUCUGUUCCUCAGCUGGGGGUCUGCUCUGUGUCUCCUCCCUCCGGGACUCAGCUGGCAGCAGCCACCAUCUUGGACGCUGCUGAUUGCGGUAGUGGGAGGAGAAGACAGCUCUGGGCAUCUUGCACAGGCAGAAAAUGUGCUCAUCUGGAAAUGUACAUCAUCUCCUUUCAUACUUUACUGGUCUGAAGUGCCAUACGGCCUCACUCAACCACAGGGGGCUGGGUCUUGCAUCCUAUCAUUGCUAGAGGGAGAGCGAACGAGCGAGAUCUCUCAAUCAACACCAAUGGCUGUCAUAGAGAUGGUUGUUAAGGGUGUGAAACAGUCCACGUCACAAUCAACAGCGUGUGAGUCACCUACAUCCACUGCUUGUCAAAUCUCUUGAUGCAGGUGCAAAGCACCAAGCCAAAGCUCGGUCAGGUAAAUACUAUAGUAGGUGGGGCCAGAAUCACAAGCCCCAGGAUGCAGCUUUGUCAGCCUUGAUUAACGUAAAGACAAAAUCCUCCAGGAAUAGGCCUCCAGGGGCCAGAGGGUAAAGGAGGUGAGGGAGGGUGGCUGUCUGACCAAACUGUGCUGAACUGCAAAGCACCUGCCCCAUCUGAAGGCAGCGGGGUAGACGAGGCAGUACUUACUUUGGUUAAGUUCGUUGCCAUAUGAGGCUGUGAACUUUGGCCUACCAGAUAUUUUUUU